rnacentral:misc_RNA from 1 species
GGUACGUUUCGUGUAAAGAUCUUUUGACGUUUCGACGUUCCGGUGUCGGGAAAAAUUUUCGCUACCUGCACCUGAGAUUCCUGUUUUCGCAGAGAGAGAGAGAGAGAGAGAGCAGAAGAAUUCGCAAGAACAUUUAACCACUUGAAAGUACGUGAACGAAUCCUACUUUUAGAUUCAGUGCGAAAAGCCACGAGGCGAGUAGAAUAUUUUCUUGUUUCUACAUUUGAGUGGGAUCUCCUUUACUUGUUUUCUACUCGCUGCUGCACUGCAGCACUUAUUUCAAGCGGAUCAGCCACCACAAUGGCGGAAGGUGGAUUGUCAUCCACUGACGGAAAUCCGCUAGAAAUAAAUCUCCCCGUAACUACAAACGACAACAACAAUAACGAUGAAGCUUAUAAAUAUAACGUUUGCAAAUACCAGAUUAGCCGCAGCGUUGUUUCAGCUGCCACAAGAGGUUUUGAAAGGUGGUUGAAUCGGGAGAAAUCAUCGAAAGUGAGUGAUUCAAAAUCUGAGUCGAGACAGACGCGAGCUCAUUCUUCAUCUCCCGAGGGAAGUCCGCGAGUCCAAAACGAGAGUGACGGUUGGUUCGAUAUAAAAAAUCGCUUCGGUUUCACUCAGUCUACCAGAGUAAAGUCGAUGCCGGAAGGCAGCUGCGGCACGAUGGACGAUCCAAAACCAUCCGCCUCGUGCGAAACGUCGAAAAAAGUGGAACCCGAUUGCCGGAAGGUGGACGAUCUUUGCAAAAAGUUUUGGAACGUUGGUUGUUCAAAAAAAAAAUCGGACAACAGUGAAAAAGUUGUCGAUAACGAAGAGAGCCUGGACGACUUGGCGAAGAACGCCUGUAGAACCGAGAAGAAAAUGCAAACCUGCUGCAUUUCAGACGCGGCUCCCGAUCCGCACAAUCCCGACCAAGUCGACGACGUGUUAAAAAAAACGGAGAGCUGCGUCGAUGCUCUGAUUAAAAUGGAAACGACCUUCAAAGAAGCUAGGAAAUUGUUACACUCCGCUAUGGCCAAGGGAGAGCUCCAACCCUGCAGUGAUGCUGCGAAGCCCUGCUCGACGAAGAAGAACAAGUCGACGACACCCAAGAUAUUACGUUCAGCACCGCCACUGCCCGACUGUAAAACAUCACAACCGCAAGACGAACAACGUUCAGGUGUGCCGUUUCCGCCGUCGCACAAGCUCACCGUCGCAGAGGUAUUCGACUCGCGGACAGGCAAACCACGACCCGACAUCCUGAAGCAACACUUCAUCCUCGAAGGAAGGAUCGACGAGGCGGCGGCGCUGCGCAUCGUUACCGACGGAGCGAGUCUUCUGCGUUCGGAAAGAACGAUGAUCGACAUAGAAGCCCCCGUUACCGUUUGCGGCGACAUCCACGGUCAAUUUUACGAUUUGAUGAAAUUAUUUGAAGUCGGAGGACCUCCUGCUUCGACGAAAUACCUAUUCCUCGGCGAUUACGUAGAUAGAGGUUACUUCAGUAUCGAGUGCGUAUUGUACCUGUGGGCAUUGAAACUUUGCCACCCCACCACACUAUUUCUUCUCAGAGGAAAUCACGAGUGCCGGCAUCUAACGGAAUACUUCACAUUCAAACAGGAGUGUAAAAUAAAAUACUCGGAAAGAGUAUACGACGCGUGUAUGGAUGCGUUCGAUUGUCUACCAUUGGCGGCGCUAAUGAAUCAACAGUUUCUCUGCGUCCACGGAGGUCUGUCACCGGAAAUUCACAAUCUAGAAGACAUACGCAAAUUGGACAGGUUCAAAGAACCACCGGCGUUCGGCCCGAUGUGCGAUCUACUCUGGUCGGAUCCCCUGGAAGAUUUUGGCAAUGAAAAGAACGCCGAACAUUUUUCACACAACAGCGUAAGGGGCUGCUCGUACUUUUACAGCUACGCGGCCUGCUGCGAUUUCCUCCAGAACAACAACCUGUUGAGUAUCAUAAGGGCGCACGAGGCGCAGGACGCGGGAUAUCGUAUGUACCGCAAAUCGCAGACGACGGGUUUUCCAUCCCUAAUAACAAUAUUCAGCGCCCCAAACUACCUGGACGUAUACAACAACAAAGCGGCUGUUCUGAAGUAUGAGAACAACGUUAUGAAUAUCAGGCAGUUCAAUUGCUCGCCACAUCCCUAUUGGUUACCAAAUUUCAUGGACGUAUUUACGUGGUCGUUGCCGUUCGUUGGCGAGAAAGUCACGGAAAUGCUGGUAAACGUUCUCAACAUUUGCUCGGACGACGAGCUGAUGAACGACGGCGACGACGCCCUGGAGGAAGAUGUAUAUUUCGUUGACAGUUCCAUAUCACAUAAACAUACUUUUCUCGUACGAUGAUCCGUGAUUGCCGGCUGGCUGGCUGGCUGUCGGCCAAAUCUUGUGCCAUUUGACGUUUAUGAUUUAUUUAAGUGUAGGCGAGGGAAAUGAAUAAACGAAACGAGAUCGUUUGAAAAUAUCGAAAAGGUUUAACCUGUAUAACGUGUAAUACACGUAGAAUCACGUGAAUAGGAAAUUGCACGCAUUGCGUAUAACUGUAAUAACUGGGAAUUUCCCAAGUUUCGAAAUCGAAUCUCGGAGGUGAAACUCGCGGGACGCGAUCGUUGAUCAAAAUUUGCGAUCCGUUGCGGUGUCGUUGUUAAAUUUAUUAUUUUUCUUUUUCAUCGAAAACUCGAUCCUCGAGAGUUUAAUUAACGGUCAUAAUUCUCGGCUCGGGUUGUAAAUACCGAUAAAACGCGAGUUAAUAAACUCGAGAAAACCCCGGGCAAUGAAAAUAAACCAGUCACCGACUGCGGCCAAUAAACCAUCACCCGUCAAUAUUUGAAUCACAGUCCUGCACGGGACGUUCUACCGUCGCAAACUUGCCGAAAGACCGAUUGUACUCUUUUAUAUUUCUGGCAAUUCACACUCACCGCCCUUCAGCAAAUUUACGCCUAAGUUAUAGUUUCACCCUUCGCCAAAGAUCAUAGAUACACAAUAAAUUCCACUUCCGGCUUUAUUCCACUCACGGUUUCAAUUUUAUCGCGAAAAAUAUUCGUCCGGUCCUCAAAUUUUACGACUUACAUAAUAUUACAUACGGUAUUGGCUAUGUACGAAAAAUUUUAUACGUUUUAUACGCGUUCGAUGCGUAAAAAGCAAUAAAAGUAGGAAUCACGCGUGUAUAAAAGUUGAACGGUAAGCAGCGGCACUCUAAAAAACCUCGACAAAUAAGAGAUGAAAUCACAGGUACUUAUAUCAUACACGUACAGAAUAUAAAUUCGGUGAUGUUGCAACGACUUUUGAAAAAUCCUCCAAUUUUUUACAAAUUGACGAUAAAAAUCAGUUAAACAAGAUCGGAGGCUCGAGUUUGUUUUUCGAAUUCGAUGAACACGGUUAUAGAUCAUGGGAAUGAACAAAUUACCGCACAUACGUACAACAGCUGUGACCGCGCGCGUGUUUUUCCAAUUUUUCGUUACUUUCGUACAGCUAUCUACGCGGGAGGACAUGAAAAUCGGUGUGCGAUGUGAAGGAUGCCGAUCGUGAAGCCAAGCCAGCCGGAAAAUGACGGUGUACACCUAUGUUAUAACAAUGAUUAUUGCGUUGAAACGGUGAGAAGCUAAUCUUCGCAAAGAAGUUAUAAGGAAUAAAAUCAGGGCGA